AACGAACGCUGGCGGCAUGCCUAACACAUGCAAGUCGAACGAGACCUUCGGGUCUAGUGGCGCACGGGUGCGUAACGCGUGGGAACCUGCCCUUAGGUUCGGAAUAACUCCCCGAAAGGGGUGCUAAUACCGGAUAAUGUCUUCGGACCAAAGAUUUAUCGCCUUUGGAUGGGCCCGCGUUGGAUUAGCUAGUUGGUAGGGUAAAAGCCUACCAAGGCGACGAUCCAUAGCUGGUCUGAGAGGAUGAUCAGCCACACUGGGACUGAGACACGGCCCAGACUCCUACGGGGAGGAGGAGUGGGGAAUAUUGGACGAUGGGCGAAAGCCUGAUCCAGCAAUGCCGCGGGAGUGAUGAAGGCCUUAGGGUUGUAAAGCUCUUUUACCCGGGAUGAUAAUGACAGUACCGGGAGAAUAAGCACCGGCUAACUCCGUG
rnacentral:rRNA from 1 species